GGUGUCAUGUACACAACUAUUUUUUUUUAAACAUAAACCUUAGCAUUAACAUUACAUACGGAUUGUUUGAUCUCAAAAACAAUGAAGAGGCUACAGUCUAGAAAAGAUUACAUGGACAUCUUACGCGCUAUAGAAACGCCGAGUUAAAAAGAGAAAACAUAGGGAACAUAGAACACAAAAUAGUUUUGAAACUUCUGAUUGUUGCAUGGGUGGAGCGUAGUAAGCAGGGAGUACGAAAGCUACAUGGGUGGAAGUUGACUCUCCAUCCACACAACACUCCCAUGUGGUCAGCCACACAACAUUACGUCCCCAGCUCGCUCCUCCAUGGCUUACCCGUCCACAACUCACCCGACCACAGCUCGUCCGUACACAUCUCACGUUACAAUAGUUCACCAAUCCGCAGCUCACCCGACCACAUGUCACCCAACUACAACUCACCCAUCCACAGGUCACCAGCCCACAACUCUCCUAUCCACAUGUCACCAGCCCAGAACUCAAUCAUCUUUCAAUGGGAUUUGUGGGAGGCGGUGGUCGGUUUGUUGUUUCCUACAAGAACAUGAAAAGGUUGUCUGGAAGAUUACGAAGAAAAUCAAAAGUUUCCUUGUAUUAUUCAUGAAACUAGAACCAAAAACUUAACUGAAUGUUGAAACUACCAGAUCUCAAAAUCGAAAAAAAAACAGGAUACAUUGAAACUAUCAAAUCUGGGAUUUUUAUGUAAAAAUUGAAACUUCCACUGACUCACAGAUUUGAAGAGUUUUAAUAGAUGUAAAAAUCGAAAACUAACAGAUCUUGUAGGUUGGUGUCAGAACACAGAAAAAAAGUGUGGGUUUCGAAGUAACAAACCUCGCAUGUGGGAAAAAAAUGACUGUGUACUCUACUCGAUGGUGAGAUUCAGAUGGUGUUGAGUAGCGUGUGAGAUGGAGGUUUGUGACGAAAAUCAAGAAAUAAGAUUUAGAAGGUGAGGACGAUGAUAGAGGAACUAGAGUUCUUAAUUUCCGCCGCACAAAGUUUUUUUCUCUCUCAAAAAAAAGCUUGUGAUUCAAAAUGAGGAAAUAUGAGAAUUUAGGAUUUUGAACUUGGUAUAGGGUGAGGUUGGUAUGGUUAGGUUUAGGCUAAUAGAAGUCCGGUUUGGUUUUCUUUAUUAUAAGGGCAUCAAUGUCUUUGACUAGCAAAUAAGGUUGCUUCAAGUGCAAAGUGCCUUACGGUAAAAUACGAAACUCAAAAAGUGUCUUGGGAAGUAAAAAAUUCAAUCUAUAUAGCUUGACCCCAAUAAGCUUUUUCAUUAUUAUUUAUAUAUCUGAAUGAUCCAAUUGUGUAAGAUGAACUACAAAAUAUAAGUAGUUUUAAAUGUUAUUUACUUUUUCAUCACAAGUCAAUAAAACAUAAUGAAAAUAUACCAAAUGACCCAUAUAGAACCAUUUUAGACUAUGCAGAAAUACUCGUUGAGAGACCAAUUAUAACUUGAUAUAUUAAUAUUAUGAAGUAAUUAUCAUGUAACCCUACACCAUUUCUUAAUAUCUAGACAUGUAUGAGUUUAUGGCAGGCGACACAUUCAAUUAAUUUGUCUUGGUAGUUAAUUCAAUUAUAGGGAGACUGGAUGGCAUGUUCAAUAGGUGUUCACAAUUCAUCUUCUCAAAAUUAUUAUUACCUUCAAAUCAUAUGUUCAAUCAUUCGUUGGUGCAACAAUUCACUCCUUUGUUUUUCCAUAAUCCUAAUGAACACUGUACAUUUGUUUUAUUUAUAACUUUUAGGUGCAGCAAAACCUGUAUCUUCUACGAUGGAAACUUUUUUCCUUUACCUAAUGUAUAUAUUCAAUAUGUUUCAUUAUAAGUGUCCUUUAAAGUUUUUGCAUACGAAUUAAAAAAUAAUAACUAAAUGUUCUGUUUACCCUUUUUUAUUACAUGAUUUUGUUUGAUUUUAUUAAUUAUUAGCUAAGAGUAAUGUUAAAAACUGGGAAAAACAUUUAAUAUUUACAUUGAAAAUGUAAAAUAACAUUAUUUAUAAUGAAACAAAAUUUAAAAGGUAAAACGAUAUUUAAUAUGAAACAGAUAAAAUAUUAAACAAAAAAAUAUCAUGUGUUAUGUUAUUAGUUUUUUUUGUAUAGAGAAAAAAAUUGAAUUAGUAUAUUUUGUAACGAGUCUGAUUUUACAAAUUAUGAAUGAUGGGUCCAAGCCUUGUUUGGACUUUUGUUAUUAUCAUCUGUAAACAUUAGUACAAAAACCAAUCAUAAGCGUUUUUCACAUGGAAGCUGCUCCUCAAUCAUGUCUGAAUUUUGGAUCCAUAUAUAUACACAAAUACAUAUUUUAAAAUUUAACUAAACAAUGUUCAUUAAUUUAAUAUAUAUCUCAAGUAUGAAGACAUCAUACGUAAACACACAUGUUUUCUCUAGCCUAUUUUUACAUGACAUUUUACUUUAAACCCAAAAAUUGAUAUUUUCAAUAUCUAUCGUUUUCAAUGAGUUUUCGUAAAAUUCUUUGUACACAGUUACAUCUACAUCAGCUAAAUUCAUACUACUACACCUUAGAUGUUUAGUUGAUGAUUGGAUAUUAGGAAUGCUGGCACUCAACUAAAAUUAGGAUUUAUAUGUAUAUACGUAUUACAUUUUUCAACUUUUUCUUCCAAUUCUUUUAUUUACUUAUAGUUCCGACGGUCUGACCAAUCAAUAAAAUAUCUGUUGUGGUCAUCUUUGGAUCAUUGAUUGAUCACAAUCAUUAACGAACAUAAUAGGAAGAUUGGAUUCAAAUAAAAAGAUAAUAAUAAAAAUUAGAAAAAAUUAGAAAAAUAAGAAACCAAUUCGAUAAGUUUUUUGGGCUUCCAACUUAAAACCAAUUGGCAAUUAGUGGAUUGACCCAAGUCCCUUAUAUAUUACUCAAGUCUCUUUCAUAUAUCUGAUGUGGGAUCUUCUCUCCAAUACCCUCCCUCGAGAUAAUGGUGCGUAUAACCAUUAAUCUCGCAGAAUCCAUCAUACCCCCUCCGAAAUCAUGCUUUAUUUUUCUAGCGAUCUCGGCGGAACUGAGCUUUCUAUGGACCAUCAGCUAAUGGGAUGAUCGGGCCACUGUCCGGGCCGGAUUAAUGGGUCAGGGUAUUGGAACCUGGCUCUGAUACCAUGAUAAGUUUUUUGGGCUUCCAACUUAAAACCAAUUGGCAAUUAGUGGAUUGACCCAAGUCCCUUAUAUAUUACUCAAGUCUCUUUCAUAUAUCUGAUGUGGGAUCUUCUCUCCAAUACAAUUGGUAGUAGUAGUAGUAGGGUGGUAAAAAAUGCUUGGAGCAAGAUGUAAACUCGUUGGCUUUGGCUUCAAAUUCUAUUAAAAACUAAGUUAUUUUUGCUCAGACGAAAAUAGAACCAUGUCUUCGGCCUCAUUAGAAAACUAGGCACCAAAAUAGUAUGCGGUGUUGACUCUCUUUGGAGAUUAGUUGGGGUUUCGUCCUAAAUACCCUAAAAAAAGUAGAAAAACUGAAAAAGAGAAAAUAGAUUGGUCUAUUGUACUAGUAAUAUUAGAAAACAACUACUAGGUUGGUCCUUAUUGCAGACAGCAACCAAGCUAACCAACUCAAGCUUAAAAAAGAUGAAAAAUAAAGAGAGAGGAUUGGGUUUGAAUGUCCGUUCCGAUUUUUUAUUAGGUCACUGCAGAAUUGAGAUGUGUGUUUCAGGUUUUGAAGGGACUACGCGACUCAUAUUUUCUAUGGGUGGAUUUGAUGUUGGAUAAUAUAACAUCCAUGGAGAUGAUAGUUCCUUUUUUUUUAACACAUGGAGAUGAUAAUUUAACCCCGAGAAAAGUCUAGAUACUGAAACUUGCUAGACAAGAGCCAAUGUGUGAUCCGUAUGUUUGAAGUGUUUUGUCCAUUCUGUUAGAAUCUCGCCCACUGCUAUUGUUGGAGCGAUUGCAAGAAAUGUGACUAGAGAUGAGAGAAUUCAUUUCUAUAUAUAUGGUACUUGGAGACUCGGCGUUGUUUCUUAAUCAAAUGUGGGAUAAAGCUGGACUGGAAGCUGGUGAUUGGUGUCCUCAUAUAUUUUCUAUUCGCAUUGUUUGUUAGCCUCUGAUGAUUUUUUUUUGGUAGGCACUAUUUUAUGGUUCUUUAAGACUUUGUAACUUCGGUUUCCUUUGAAUAUAUUGGUGGAAGUUAACACAAAAAGUAUAGACUUCCUACUCUUUUAAGAAAAUGUUAUACUAUAUACUAUAUUCACCAAUAUCAAUUGAAGUUCAGGGGUUGAGUCCAAAAUUUAAAGGUAGGCUUGUGUAGAUAAAAUGUUUCUUGUACGAUUUGCGUGAUGAAUUCAGUGGGAAGAACAGAAAAUUGAGCCAACUCAAUAAAACUCCAAAGAAGACCGGAUUACUCUAGUAUGCCUAGCUUGUCAGAGUAAAAUAAUACAAAAAUAUACUUAGGGUUUAACUGGUAACCAUCGUAAAAAUAUUGAUAACAGAUAGGAAAAGAAAGACAACAAUAAAAUUGUAGGAACAAUGAAGAAUGAUUAUUUCUUAUCGUAUUUAGUGAAGAACAAAUUUAUUUUAUAUUUCUCUAAAAUAAAAGGAAUGAGAAAGAAUGGAAAGAAAAAACUAUUCUUUGUGAAUGGUAAAUUUAUUUAGAAAUAUUAAAGGAUACAUUGUUCAUCUUCAUUACUUGGUCACCAUACACACCCUUAUAAGAUUACUUACAGAUAAAUGCAAGUCUGAUAUAACUUUAUAAGUUAUAAUUCUAGCUAUUGCUGGAGUCGGGUUUCACCCUGCUACAGGUCCGGUCCAAGAUCUCAAUCUGAAUAUAUAAAGCUCAAAUCAAGCACCAUCAAAGCUCAAGAAGGAACCAUACGCCCACGAAGGUCAAUGUCCACCUCGGGCCAAAAGAGUCUAACACUCCGAGCUCGGAGAGUCAAAGCAUAACGUAAAAACAUUGAAGACAUUAAAACCACCAUAAGACACUUGAUCCACGCCAGAGAUCAUGUCGCCAUUACGAUACGCCUCAAAAGACAUAUAAAAGAAGGAUGACAUGCCAAGAAAAGGGAUAUGAUUAUCUCCAUAGCUAAAUUAUAGUCUCAAUACAUUCAUACUCUCUUGUCUUUAGAUAUCUUUUGUAUUCAUCGUUUAUUCUCGAUAUUAUAGUCAAUAACACAUUCAUUUUUCAUAGUUGAUCAGAACUGAGACUUUCCUUUUUAGAUAAUUUUUCAGCAAGUCAAAGAAAACGUAAACUAUACUUGUGAGUGAAUUUUAAGAUAACAGCUAUGUGUAUUAGUGUUAAUCUAAGAAAAAACAUCGAGAGAAAAUAUCACAUAUCCAACAAAAGAUACAUAUCUUAUUAGGAGAUAAAUAGCGAAAAUUUAAAUAGUAGUAUUGUUCAUUUACCUAGAAUCAUAUUUUUUUACAAAACAACUCCAAAGCAUACAAUAUCAUGGUAUAAAUUAUUUUAUGAAAUGGUUUCAAAACAUAUUUUUACUCCCAAACUAGCACAUAAGAGUAAAAGUGAUCAAAAUAAACUUUAUUAAAAGGUAAAAGACAAUUAUACAUUUUUCUACAGCUAUAUUAAAUAAAUAAAUAUUUAAAUAAAAGCUUUUCCAUUUUUAUUUUCAAAACCUUUUUCCAAGCUUAUUUCUGAAAGAUUUUUUUGAAUUUCUUUUUAAAAAUAUUUUAAGAAACAGUUUAACUUUUUAAAAAAGUUUAGGAAUACUUUCUAAAAUGGGUAAUAUCUUCAUGUUUUUUGAGUUAUAUGCAUAUUUAGAAAAACAUUACUCAAUAAAUAUAAUAUAUUUUUAAAUUUUAGGAACAAAUAUUUAUAUCUUCAUGGAUUUUGAGUUAUAUGCAUAUUUAGGAAAGUAUUACUCAACAAGUAUAAUACAUUUUAAAAUUUUAGAAAAUAUUGAUAAAUAUAUAUAAUAUCUUCAUAUUUAUGAGAAAAAUUCAUCAAUGUAUAUUUAAAAUACAUUAUUAAAUUUAUAUUUAGGAAAACUUUCAUUAAUAUAUUUAUGAAUAUCUUGCUGAAUUUGAAUUAUAUUUAUAUUGAAAAAGAUAUCUUACUGAAUUUAAAAAUAUCUUACUUAUUUGGUAAGGUGUUUUUGAAUAUGUAUAACAUCUUCCUAAGAUUUUAGAAAUACCUUCCUAAUUUGAUGUCUAAAUUUAUUAAGAUACUAUACAUAUUUAAAUAUCAGUAUGAGUCAAAUUCAAUAAGAUAUCAUAUAUACAUUAAGGAAGACAUUCCAAAACGUACAUACAAGUUACAGUAAAAAAUAUAUAAUUUCAUGUUUAUGAAUGCAUUCCUGAAUGUGGGGAAUUUUUUUAAAAAACAAUAUAUCAUACACAUUCAUGAAAGUAUUUUUUAAACCUUUUUGAAGAAAAAUGUUUCCGAAAUAACGGAAUUUUUUUUUAUAAAUUAAUUUUUAUUUUAUUUUUUCAAUUUUAUUGUUUGAUUUUUUUAAUAUUUGAUAAAUAUAUAGAUUUUUAUUCGUACUUUUAAAGCGCGAAAAUAUGUUUUGGUAAAGUUUUAAUUUAAUAAAGUUAACGAAAUUCAUUUCUUUCAUUUUUUUUAUAUUUGUGAACUGAUUUGAUUUAUAUCAUUUGGAAUAUUAUUGUAGAUUUGAAAAUUAAUUUAUUGUUUAAGUUUAAAUUUUGACUUAUCACAGUUCUGUUAAAUUUCAUCAUGAAUUAUUAAUUUAAAAUUUGUAAAAAAGUAUAAUAUUUUAAUUCGUACUAAUGAUAUCAAUUAUCUUUAUUAAUGAGUAUAGGUUUAUCUUAACAACUAUGUGAUAUAAUUCUAAUAAUUUCAUUUAUGAAAAUUUAUUGAUUUUAUAUUUUUUUAAAAAUCCUUUAAAGUAAUCGAGUUCAAAUGAGAUUUUAUUUUAAAUAAAUACAAUCUCCCAUUUAAAAAAAAUACAAAUAGAUAAGCCCGUUUAAUUAAUUUACUUUUUUUACUACAAAUAAUUUGAUAUGUUUAACCCAUAAAAACUACUUCUACUAGUUUAAAUUUUAUAUUUACAAAAUCCUGAUAUAUAUGAUAUCUUUAAUUCAUGGUAUUCCAAUUUUUUGUUUAUUUAAGAAAUUAUGAUUUAUUAAAUAUCUAAUAUUAUUUUAUUUGAGAAAUAUAAUGUGGUAUCGAUUUUGUUGUUAAAAGUUAUUAUAUAUAUGAUAAGUUUCAAUAUUAUAUGAAAAUACAAUUUUUUUAAAAAUAAACUGCAUCCAGUUUUUUUUAUAUUUAAGAAAUCAUUUUAUCAAAAAUUAGAAAUAACAGAAUUUUGACAAUGUAUUUAGAGGAGUAUAUUCAUAUGCUAAACUCUAAAGGUUUCAAAAGUUUGUUAGUAAAUUUUUAAGUUGCAGGAUUUUAUGAAAAUGCAAUUUUAAAAAUAAAAAUUUACAUUUUUUUAUAUUUAAGAAGCUAUUUUAUCAGAUAAUUUUAGUAUUAAAUAAUAUUUGACACUAUGUUUUGGUAAUAUAUUCAAAAUUUUGACAGAUUUAAAAUAGUUUAUUAAAAUUUAUUAAGUUACAUGAUUCUAUUGAAAUAUAAUAUUAGAACGAAUAUAUAAUAGGAUUUCUAGUUAUUCUAUAUACAUUUGCAAUUUUAGAUUAAGUCUUAUAAACAUAUUAAUGAGGUUUUGCCGCAUUUGUUUUUGAUGGAAGCAUAUAUUCAAUUAGUGAAAUUAAGUAUGUAUUAGUGAUUGACAAACAUGUUUAAAUUAAUACAUAAUGAUGCAUAUACAGCAAAAUAGCACAUACAAAUAAUUUUGGAGGGAAAUUACAUGUUUACCACUUUCAUGGUACUACUUUUCAUUUUUACCACCACUAAAAAGACAUUUUCAAAAAUACAUUCUUCAUUAAGUAGCAAAAGACUUUUAUGUUCUUGUUAUUCAUAUAUAUAAUAAAUCAUUAUUUAAAUAAAAAAAAAAAAAAAAAAAAAAAACAGAAAAAGUAAUUUUUUAUGUUUUCGAAUUAUACUUUUUCAAAUUCAAACUUUUUGUAAAUUUCAUUUUUUGAAAUUUUUUUUUUCAAAUUUUUAUUUUAUUUUUUUCAAAUUUCUUUUUGAAAAACGAAAAUUAUGUUUGAAACCAUUUUUAAAAUUUUUUUAUAUAUUUUUAAGUAUUUAUUUAUAUAUUUAUUAGAAUCCUAAAUUUCACAUUCCAAAAACUCUACCCCACCCCUUAACGCUAAACCCUAAGUCUAGAUUAGUUAACAUUAAGGGUACAAUUAUCUUUUACCCUUCAUUAAAAGUGUGGGUAAAAGUGGUUAGUGUAAACAUGAAAAGUGGUACUAUGAAUGUGCUAUUUGUGGCAAUUUCCCAAUAAUUUGGUUUAAGCAUAUUCAUAAUAAAAUAUGGGCAAUCCUCUCAAAUAUAAAUUUUUAAGUUUUUGUCACAAAAAUAGACCUCAAAAACUAAAUUACCAAAAUAGCAUUUUUUAUUUGAAAAUUUUAAAUUUUAAAUUUUAAAAAAUUUAAAAUCCUAUCCCUUAAACCUCACUCCUCAACUCUAAACCCUAAACUCUAAACAAACUCUAAACCUUAAACUCCACCUCUUAACUUUAAACCCUAAUAUCUAGAUUAGUUAACCCUAUGAGUAUAAGUGUAUAUUUAUUUCUUUUGAUAAACCAUGUAAAUCUAUUUUGGUCAUUUUUGUUUUUAAAAUAUAUAUUUGUGAUAAAAACUUUUUUUAAGUCUAUCCUAAAGAAUUUUUCAUAAAAUACUAACGUGUUAAAAAACAUUAAAUACACAAGUUUCAAAUUAAGAUCAAUGCUCAUAAUUGAGAUUGCACGAAAAAUUUAUUUCAGUACCAUGUGAAUAUAUGUUAAUCUAUGUACAAUUUCUUACCUGAUAUGGUACAUAAUGAUGUAAAUCAAUAUUUGGUUUAAUAGUUACUAGAACUUGACCUGCGCCCCCGCGCGGAUGCUUGAUUUAAUUUUUGUUUAACAUAAAAUCAUAAACCACUGGUUUGAUAAAAAAAAUUCAUACAUAUAGAAUAGAAUAUAUUAUUUUAUAAUAUAGAUGUUUGAUAAUAUUUUUAUUUAUUUAUACAUAAUAUUAUAUUAUUUUUUAUAACUUAAUACAAUUUGAUGUAAUUGUACUAUUCAUAUAUUGAUCUGUUGUUUUUUGUGAAUUUAUUUUCAAAAGAAAAAAACAUACCUAAAAUUUUAAUUUUUGCAUUGUUUUCUAUGAAUUAUCUUUAAUUUUAUGAUAUUUUAUUUUCUUGAAAAUUGAACUCUCGAAUUUUUUAUAUUUGAUUAAACUAAAUAAAGUAAUGCUAUAUUUAAAAUUCUUUUAUAUAAUAUAUACUAUAUAUUUCAGUUGUGUUUUUAUUUUCACUAUAAAGAAACAACAACUAUUGUAAUUAAUUAUUUUAAAUUGAUUUUAAAUGUAGUGGCAUAAUCUGUAAAUAAAAAAUGCAAAAAGGAAAUAUGUCAUUUAUUAUAAAUGUAAUGAUUAAAUGUGUAAAUAAAAGAAAGUAAUAAAUUUACUAUCAAUGUUUCCAAACAAUUCUCAUUUAUUUUUUUAUCCUUGUUUCCAAACAGUACAAAAGGUACUUAAGUUUUAAUAAUAUAGAUUAUUUAUUAAUAUAUGGCAUAUUUGAUAAUAUCAAAAUUUAAAUUUGUAAGAUUUUGUGUGUCCCACACAUUUAGUCAAUAUUUGGUUUAAUAGUUAUUGUCUACCACACGUUACCAAAUUAUCUCAAUAUUAAAUUCUAUUAAUAUCUAAAUGGCACUCCUGUAAAUAAUAAAGCAUAUCAGUGAGAUAUCAAAAAAAAUCUUAUGUUUUAAUAGCAUAUAUACUAAAUAAAAUUAUAAUUUAAAAUAUAUUUUUAUUUAUCUUUUGAAUAGAACUUAACUGUCACGUUGAUCGUGGAACCUAUUUAUAGAAUAAAAAAAUUAUUUAAGAGACUUGCCUUUAUUUUAUUUUCUUACAAUAUAAUAUAUUAUUAUUGAAAUCAGAAUUUUCAUAUAUUGAUUUUAGGUUUUGAAAGAAUCUGGAAACUUCAACAAUUUUUAAGAAAUCAAUUAUUCUAUCAAUACUAUUAAAACUGAAGGGCCUUUUUUGAGGUACCCUUAGAGUUUUGAAGUAUUUACCAUUCUUUGCCACUGAAUUAUUUUUAAUCUAUGAUUUCAAUUAAAUUUUGUAUUUUUGAAUUUUAUUUUAAUUAAAAGCAGAAAAUCCUUUUGUUUAAAAAUCAUUCAUAAAACGUUCAAACAAACUUCAGUUGCUAUAAUUUAGUUAUUGAAAUGGAUACAUGAUAUGUGCAGAAAUCACGAUACCCAAAUUGUAUGUUUAAUCAACAAUAUCUCUUAACUUCCAUGUUAAAAGGAAUGUUGUUAUUUUGAAAAAUUAAUAGCUUAAUGUAGUUGACCACAAUAUAUGCAAACUUCACGAUUUAAGAUUUAAUUGACCACCAUAGCUGACCAUCAUAUCUGACCACCACGGUUAAUAUGCUUCACCAUUUAGUUUUUAGCAAAAUUAUUAACUUAACGUAGUUGACCACUAUAAUUGUAUAGUUCUAUAAAAUAUUAAUGAAAUAUUAAUUACUGGUAAUAUUUAUACACACGUUAGAAAAUAAUAAUAUAAAACUAUUAAUUUAUAACAAAACACUAGAUUUCCAAACGCGGGUUUUUGGGAUUAUAUUAUAAUACAAAGUUUUAUUAUAUCGAAAAAUAUAAUUUUUAACAGUUAUAUAAUCUAUGAAUUAGUUUAUUUGAUAUUUUAUAUGUACACUUUUACGUAAGUUUUUUUUAGGCAUGAAAAUUAUAUCCGGAUCAAAAAAACAAACCAAACCGACCCGGAAAUAUAGGUUUAGUUCCAGAGAAGAUAACCUAUUGGGAUUUUUUUGGACCCGCAUGUCUUUGUUUGAGUCCGGGUCCUACCCUAGACCCGAUCAUAAAUAUGUUGUGUUUAUUUGGUAUAUUUAGAUAUUUUGAAUAUGUUUCCGGCAUUAUGAAUAUUUUUUAAGGUUUUUGGUUUACGAUUAUAGUUUUUAAUUUCAGGUAAAUUUUCAAAUUAAUUUUUUUUUUGGGUAUUUGGAUAAAAUUUUGGAUAUUUUCAGUUCAGUGUCAGAUUUUGAAUAAGAUUUUGAAUUUUUAGGUAUUUGAAUUUUUUGGGUAUUUGUUUGGAGUUUCAAGUACUUUUCGUGUUUCGGAUAUUUUUCAGAUUUUCUAGAUAUUUCGAAUCUUUUUAGGAUCCUAAAUACCUGAACAGAUGUGGACUCAUUACGUCCAUAUCGGGUCCAACAACCUUUUGAUAUAGAUUUUUAACGUAAUUGUACAAAAACAUGGUUGAUGAAAUAUAUUUUAGAAAACUCAUUUUUAAAUAUGAAAAUAUCUAUCAAACUAUAGACGGUUGAAAGUUUAGUAUAUAA
rnacentral:lncRNA from 1 species